rnacentral:rRNA from 1 species
UACGUAGGGUGCGAGCGUUGUCCGGAAUUACUGGGCGUAAAGAGCUCGUAGGUGGUUUGUCGCGUUGUUCGUGAAAACUCACAGCUUAACUGUGGGCGUGCGGGCGAUACGGGCAGACUGGAGUACUGCAGGGGAGACUGGAAGUUCCUGGUGGUAGCGGUGGAAUGCGCAGAUAUCAGGAGGAACACCGGUGGCGAAGGCGGGUCUCGUGGGCAGUAACUGACGCUGAGGAGCGAAAGCGUGGGGAGCGAACAGG